AUCACAUUUGCAUCAGAUGCUACAGAAAACAAGCAACCUCCAGUGUUUGGCUGCGACUCUACGUCUGCUACGAUAAGGAGCUUCACAAAUUCUAAAAGCAAUCGCAUUGAAACAGAUAGCAUCACCUUUCUCGAGAAUUUUUACGGUAUAUUGGCAAAUUUCUGAUUUGAGCAAGCUCUUCACUCCUCUCGACACAGACAUGGGAUUUCUUGAGAAAAACUGCUGUGAUGUGAGUAAUAACAGGUCCCUGUUAGUGUUAUAUAUUUUCUAUCAACCGAAACUUGUACUUAACCCUCUAAGGGCCAUAUGUAGUGAAAUACAUCAUAAUAUAACUACUCCAUGCGGUCUACGUUAAA